CCGAGUGGCGGACGGGUGCGUAAUGUCUGGGAAACUGCCUGAUGGAGGGGGAUAACUACUGGAAACGGUAGCUAAUACCGCAUACCAUCAGAUGUGCCCAGAUGGGCGUAGCUUGUUGGUGGGGUAACGGCUCACCAAGGCGACGAUCCCUAGCUGGUCUGAGAGGAUGACCAGCCACAUUGGAACUGAGACACUGUCCAGAAUCCUACGGGGGGCAGCAGUGGGGAAUAUUUCACAAUGGGCGCAAGCCUGAUGCAGCCAUGCCGCGUGUAUGAAGAAGGCCUUCGGGUUGUAAAGUACUUUCAGCGGGGAGGCGUUACCCGCAGAAGAAGCACCGGCUAACUCCGUGCCAGCAGCCGCGGUAAUUC
rnacentral:rRNA from 1 species